ensembl:lncRNA
GGGAGUCUUCAGGUGAAGCCUUUGUGCCUGCCUGCACCCCCACGUGGUCCCUACACACAGCCAGCGGAAACAUACACAAGGAACAAAUUUCAUAAAGGCAAGUUCAAUGCGCUGAGUCACAGAAGUGACAGCAUGUCCCCACAAUCCUCGCUCCAUCCAGAGAGGGCACCGCCGCCCUCGGGCAAUGCAGCUGUCGGCUCUCCCUCCCAGGCCAGGGGAGGCUGUCGGGAAAAUCUUCGCCGAAGAUAAAAGAAGACACUCCCUUUUCUUUGGCAAGACUCAAAUCAUUUCUGGAAAGACUCGGAACUCCAAGAGAUUUGGACAGAGGGUCUAUCAACCAAGGCGCUUCGUGUUCUGCUUGGUUUCCUAUUAG